rnacentral:rRNA from 1 species
GAGUUUGAUCAUGGCUCAGAUUGAACGCUGGCGGCAUGCCUUACACAUGCAAGUCGAACGGCAGCAUGAUCUAGCUUGCUAGAUUGAUGGCGAGUGGCGAACGGGUGAGUAAUACAUCGGAACGUGCCCUGUAGUGGGGGAUAACUAGUCGAAAGAUUAGCUAAUACCGCAUACGACCUGAGGGUGAAAGUGGGGGACCGCAAGGCCUCAUGCUAUAGGAGCGGCCGAUGUCUGAUUAGCUAGUUGGUGGGGUAAAGGCCCACCAAGGCGACGAUCAGUAGCUGGUCUGAGAGGACGAUCAGCCACACUGGGACUGAGACACGGGCCCAGACUCCUACGGGAGGCAGCAGUGGGGAAUUUUGGACAAUGGGCGAAAGCCUGAUCCAGCAAUGCCGCGUGUGCGAAGAAGGCCUCGGUUGUAAG